rnacentral:rRNA from 1 species
GACGAACGCUGGCUGCGUGCUUAACACAUGCAAGUCGAACGCUGAAGCCCGCAGCUUGCUGUGGGUGGAUGAGUGGCGAACGGGUGAGUAACACGUGAGUAACCUGCCCCUGACUUCGGGAUAAGCCCGGGAAACUGGGUCUAAUACCGGAUACGACCAUCGGACGCCUGUCUGGUGGUGGAAAGUUUUUUCGGUUGGGGAUGGGCUCGCGGCCUAUCAGUUUGUUGGUGAGGGAAGGGCCCACCAAGACGACGACGGGUAGCCGGCCUGGGAGGGCGACGGGCCACACUGGGACUGAGACACGGCCCAGACUCCUACGGGAGGCAGCAGUGGGGAAUAUUGCACAAUGGGGGAAACCCUGAUGCAGCGACGCAGCGUGCGGGAUGACGGCCUUCGGGUUGUAAACCGCUUUCAGCAGGGAAGAAGCGAAAGUGACGGUACCUGCAGAAGAAGUACCGGCUAACUACGUGCCAGCAGCCGCCGUAA